rnacentral:rRNA from 1 species
UCUAGAGGCUUCGGCAAUGGGCGAAAGCCUGACCGAGCGACGCCGCGUGGAGGAUGAAGCCCUUCGGGGUGUAAACUCCUUUCGACCGGAAAAAAGGACCCGGACUCGUUCCGGGAUUGAUGGUACCGGGAGAAGAAGCCACGGCUAACUCUGUGCCAGCAGCCGCGGUAAGACAGAGGUGGCAAGCGUUAUUCGGAUUUAUUGGGCGUAAAGGGCGCGUAGGCGGCCAAGUGCGUCCGGUGUGAAAGCGCUACCGCUCAACGGAGCGACUGCACUGGAUACGGCUUGGCUUGAGUCCGGGAGAGGUGAGUGGAAUUCCUGGUGUAGCGGUGGAAUGCGUAGAUAUCAGGAAGAACACCAGUGGCGAAGGCGGCUCACUGGCCCGGCACUGACGCUGAGGCGCGAAAGCGUGGGGAGCAAACGGGAUUAGAUACCCCGGUAGUCCACGCUGUAAACGGUGGAUACUAGGUGUGGGAGGUAUCGACCCCUUCCGUGCCGCAGGUAACCCAUUAAGUAC